rnacentral:rRNA from 1 species
AGAGUUUGAUCAUGGCUCAGGAUGAACGCUAGCUACAGGCUUAACACAUGCAAGUCGAGGGGCAGCAUUUUAGUUUGCUUGCAAACUGAAGAUGGCGACCGGCGCACGGGUGAGUAACACGUAUCCAACCUGCCGAUAACUCCGGAAUAGCCUUUCGAAAGAAAGAUUAAUACCGGAUAGUAUACGAAUAUCGCAUGAUAUUUUUAUUAAAGAAUUUCGGUUAUCGAUGGGGAUGCGUUCCAUUAGUUUGUUGGCGGGGUAACGGCCCACCAAGACUACGAUGGAUAGGGGUUCUGAGAGGAAGGUCCCCCACAUUGGAACUGAGACACGGUCCAAACUCCUACGGGAGGCAGCAGUGAGGAAUAUUGGUCAAUGGGCGAGAGCCUGAACCAGCCAAGUAGCGUGAAGGAUGAAGGCUCUAUGGUCGUAAACUUCUUUUAUAUGGGAAUAAAGUUUUCCACGUGUGGAAUUUUGUAUGUACCAUAUGAAUAAGGAUCGGCUAACUCCGUGCCAGCAGCCGCGGUAAUACGGAGGAUCCGAGCGUUAUCCGGAUUUAUUGGGUUUAAAGGGAGCGUAGGUGGAUUGUUAAGUCAGUUGUGAAAGUUUGCGGCUCAACCGUAAAAUUGCAGUUGAAACUGGCAGUCUUGAGUACAGUAGAGGUGGGCGGAAUUCGUGGUGUAGCGGUGAAAUGCUUAGAUAUCACGAAGAACUCC